GCUGGAAUGGUCUAGUUGGUUAUGACGACUGCCAACCACGCAGUAGGUCCCGAGUUCGACUCUCGGUUCCACUA
rnacentral:tRNA from 1 species